rnacentral:lncRNA from 1 species
CGGAGGAGGGGGAGGAGAAGAAUGGGAAGGAGAAGAGAGGAUAGGAGCUUGUAGUAUUGCUGUUCCCUUCUGCUUCCCUUUCUUCUUUUUCCCCCUUGAUGAUUUUUCUUCUUCUUCUUUCUGCUAGCGAGUAGUACCUUUUUGUUGCUUGUCUUUUGCCCUUAUUAUUUUCUUGUGUCCUUGAUUGGUUUGUGAAGUUGGACAGCAAGGCCAUUCUGUUGGUUGAAAGAGAUACAUAUAUCAGUAUACUUCUUUGUUUGCUUGCUCCAUACAAAAUUCCCCCCUUCAUUGUGUCGCUAUACUGACGAUAUUCUCGCAUGAUCUUGGCUGAGAUCACACACGGUGCAAAAGUUUACCUUGCGUCUUUGGCUCACCAGCAUCGAGUUUCCUUAUGAUUCCGUCAAACGUUUCUGAAGAAAAUGGAGUGCAAGAGUACGAAAAAUAGCUGUGGAUUGAAGAAUACGGCAUCGUUUCAGAAAGGAAGGGAAUGGAUUACAGUUGCAGUGCAGGGAGUCUUCACGAAGAAGAUACUGGUAGGAGAAAGUAGUCUACAAAAGGCUGGGAUGUGAUGAACACGUAUUUCUGUUCAAAAUUAGAAUGAUG